CGGUGAGGCAAUCCGCUCAGGGUCACUCAGCUGGAGCAAAACAGAGUCAGGGUUUCAGAAGUAGUACUCUAAGCAGAGCAGAGUGAAGCGGAGUGACUAAAGAGAACACUGACGCUGAAGAGAGGCGGGAGGCACAGGAAGCACACUGGCCUCACGUGCGAGGCGUCAGGUCCACCUGGUCUCACCACGGCCCCCACAUACUCCCAGGCAACCCCCACGCAAGGCUUGCCACACGGAGUAAAAAGGCAGCUCUGUGCUCCUUCAGCUCAGCGAAACACAGUUCAGGAAAGUCUGGCUUCACACCUGUCCACGUGCUUUGGCGCUGCGGGCGACAGCACAAACUCUAACAUGGGCUGACGAAAUGGUCUUCUCAGGAGAGCUGGGGUCAUCUCCUCCUUCCUACAGGAAACAACCAAGAGGCCCCAUGGCUGCUGGACAGGAUACCUGAGCUUCUCCUAGAGCAACAAGAGCAAUAGGAACAAGAGACCGUGGGUGGGGGGUGGGGUUAGGAUCACCAGAUAGGAAGGGAGAGGGAAAGAGACCGCUUUGCUCCUACAGACUUUGGUGGGGCCCAGACCUCACCUUCCCGCUCAUCGCCCACCCCCCACUCCCUACCCCUCCCCACUCCCUACCACCCCACCCCCACACACUUUAGGAAGUUCUAGGAGAACAAAACUAAAGCAUUUGCAAAGGGGUCAUUUACUAAGAAAGAACUGAAGUCCUAGAAAAUCAAAAGGUCAGAGAGUACAUCAGGGCACUGCCCAGGGCUGACCCAAGCCAAGCACAGGCUGCUAGGUCAACAGCAGGAGGCCUCCAUCUACCACCUGGAAGGAUAAUGACUCCCAGCACACGCGCCAGGUUGGGAACUGCCAAUAAACAGAAGCACACACCCUUAAAGGCGCCAGGCCUGAGGCCAAAGAGGGGUGGGGUGUGGGGAUGAGAAGGGAACAGAGCUCCACACUGCCCAAGGUAGGCACACUGGGCUUAGCACACACAGAGCAGCACCCAAGGCCCUUUUCUACCCAUUCUGCAUCCAGCCCAGCCCCACCUCCAACAAGAAGGAACUUGGCUUUCCCGGGCAGAGGCAGGCAUGAGUGGAAUUCCCCUGAGGCAGGCUGCAUAGGGCAUCCAGCAACAGAGACCAUUCAUCAAGUUGCUUCUGGGGGGAGAAGGCAACCAGCUCAGCUUCUCCAGGGAAAAUCCAGUGCAGGCCCCAUAGCACCCCCACCACAGACAUUAAAAGCCAGAAGACCACUCAGGAGAGACAAUCAUCCCACAGAAGUCUCCCCUGGCAUAGAGGGAGCUGCCCAUAAAUUGGGCUCUUCUCAAUCAAAUGGCAAGUAGACAGCUUAAGGGAAAAGCAACUUUUAAAAAUAAGCAGAAAGUCUGGUGUUCCCCUACCCCAUGCCAUUUUCAGAGAAAGGGCAGCUCUGAUGUCAACGUACUUGGUUUAAAAUCCCAACAUAAACAUUUACUAGCGGUAGAACCUUGAGCAAACCAAUUAAUCUCUUUGAAUCUUACUAUCCUCCUCUAAAGCAUGGGGUGGUAAUACUACUAGCCUCAGAGGGUUUCUAUGAGUAUUAAAUAAAAUAACUCAUAAAGUACCAGGCAAAUAAAUUGUUGACAAAUUAAGGUAGCUUUUUUGAUGGAUGGUAAAACUAAAAAAAAAGAAAAAGAAAAAAUCAUGCAUCUGGUACAAAAAACACAGGAGUAGCUGUGGAAAUCACAGUACGGAAUUUGGCACGUCCAUGUUGGUGGCAGGAGAAGCAGAGCCCACCCCAUUUUGAGGCCCUGUACCCAGCAGCAAGGAAAAGAGGCUCACAAAAAAAACCCACAAAAACAAACACUUAUUUGUAGGAGCGGAGGAGUAAAAAGGCAUCAUAAGAAAAAGUACCAGCCCAGCCUGCCACUUUGCCCCCAUGGCUGUUAAAGUGACUCGAGUAGACUAAUGUUCACAGCAGGAUUAUUCAGAAUUGGUGACAAGUGGAAACAACCCAAAUGCUCAUCAAAUGAUGAGAAGACAAACAUGGUAUACUCAUCUACCAUUACAAUGGAGUAUUAUUUGGCCAUAAAAAAGAAGGAAGUACUGAUACUUGCUGUGACAUGGAUGAGCCCUGAAAACAUUGUGCUAAGGUGGAUGGGGCUGGAAGAGAUUAUAAUAAGUGAAGUCAGUCAGCAGGUAAAAGAAAAAUAUCGGAAGGUUUCACUUAUAGAGGGAAUAUAAGGAAACUGAACAAAGGGUCAGGAAAAAGGCAAAACUUGCAGGCAAACCAUAGAUCCGAGGCACCCAGUAGGGGAGGGAGAGAGUAAGGGGUCAAAACAGGGGAGGGAGGAGCACAAGGGACCAUGGUGAUGGUGCACAGGUGAUGUGGGGGUGGCAGAAU